CCUACGGGAGGCUGCAGUGAGGAAUAUUGGUCAAUGGACGAGAGUCUGAACCAGCCAAGUAGCGUGAAGGAUGACUGCCCUAUGGGUUGUAAAUUUCUUUUAUAUGGGAAUAAAAUGUUCCACGUGUGGGAUUUUGUAUGUACCAUAUGAAUAAGGAUCGGCUAACCUCGUGCCAGCAGCCGCGGUAAUACGGAGGAUCCGAGCGUUACCCGGAUGUAUUGGGUUUAAAGGGAGCGUAGGUGGAUUGUUAAGUCAGUUGUGAAAGUUUGGGGCUCAACCGUAAAAUUGCAGUUGAAACUGGCAGUCGUGAGUACAGUAGAGGUGGGCGGAAUUCGUGGUGUAGCGGUGAAAUGCUUAGAUAUCACGAAGAACUCCGAUUGCGAAGGCAGUUCACUGGACUGAAACUGACACUGAGGCGCGAAAGUGUGGGGAUCAAACAGGAUUAGAUACCCCAGUAGUC
rnacentral:rRNA from 1 species